UGGAAGUAAAAGUCGUAACAAGGUCUCCGUUGGUGAACCAGCGGAGGGAUCAUUACUGAGUUUACGCUCUACAACCCUUUGUGAACAUACCUAUAACUGUUGCUUCGGCGGGUAGGGUCUCCGCGACCCUCCCGGCCUCCCGCCUCCGGGCGGGUCGGCGCCCGCCGGAGGAUAACCAAACUCUGAUUUAACGACGUUUCUUCUGAGUGGUACAAGCAAAUAAUCAAAACUUUUAACAACGGAUCUCUUGGUUCUGGCAUCGAUGAAGAACGCAGCGAAAUGCGAUAAGUAAUGUGAAUUGCAGAAUUCAGUGAAUCAUCGAAUCUUUGAACGCACAUUGCGCCCGCCAGCAUUCUGGCGGGCAUGCCUGUUCGAGCGUCAUUUCAACCCUCAAGCUCUGCUUGGUGUUGGGGCCCUACAGCUGAUGUAGGCCCUCAAAGGUAGUGGCGGACCCUCUCGGAGCCUCCUUUGCGUAGUAACUUUACGUCUCGCACUGGGAUCCGGAGGGACUCUUGCCGUAAAACCCCCAAUUUUCCAAAGGUUGACCUCGGAUCAGGUAGGAAUACCCGCUGAACUUAAGCAUAUCAAUAAGCGGAGGA
rnacentral:rRNA from 1 species